CCUACGGGUGACAGCAGUGGGGAAUAUUGGGCAAUGGGCGCAAGCCUGACCCAGCAACGCCGCGUGAAGGAAGAAGGCUUUCGGGUUGUAAACUUCUUUUCUUAGGGACGAAGAAAGUGACGGUACCUGAGGAAUAAGCCACGGCUAACUACGUGCCAGCAGCCGCGGUAAUACGUAGUUGGCAAGCGUUAUCCGGAUUUAUUGGGUGUAAAGGUCGUGUAGGCUGGAGCGCAAGUCAGAUGUGAAAGCUCAGGGCUCAACCCUGAGCCUGCAUUUGAAACUGUGAUUCUUGAGUGCUGGGGAGGAGAGCGGAAUUCCGUGUGUAGCGGUGAAAUGCGUAGAUAUACGGAGGAACACCAGUGGCGAAGGCGGAUUGCUGGACAGUAACUGACGCUGAGGCGCGAAAGCGUGGGGAGCAAACAGGAUUAGAUACCCGUGUAGUC
rnacentral:rRNA from 1 species